AUUGAACGCUGGCGGCAUGCCUUACACAUGCAAGUCGAACGGCAGCACGGGUGCUUGCACCUGGUGGCGAGUGGCGAACGGGUGAGUAAUACAUCGGAACAUGUCCUGUAGUGGGGGAUAGCCCGGCGAAAGCCGGAUUAAUACCGCAUACGAUCCACGGAUGAAAGCGGGGGACCUUCGGGCCUCGCGCUUUAGGGUUGGCCGAUGGCUGAUUAGCUAGUUGGUGGGGUAAAGGCCUACCAAGGCGACGAUCAGUAGCUGGUCUGAGAGGACGACCAGCCACACUGGGGCUGAGACACGGCCCAGACUCCUACGGGAGGCAGCAGUGGGGAAUUUUGGACAAUGGGCGAAAGCCUGAUCCAGCAAUGCCGCGUGUGUGAAGAAGGACUUCGGGUUGUAAAGCACUUUUGUCCGGAAAGAAAUCCUUGACUCUAAUACAGUCGGGGGAUGACGGUACCGGAAGAAUAAGCACCGGCUAACUACGUG
rnacentral:rRNA from 1 species